rfam:Gossypium hirsutum cultivar TM-1 chromosome 12, whole genome shotgun sequence
AACCCAUGGUGAGGGCACCUUUGUAAUAGGUCCUUGUAUCUCCCCCAUGCAUCAUAAAGUAUUUCUAGAUCCAUAUGCACAAAAGAAGAGAUAUCAUUCGUCAACUU